UGGGGAAUAUUGCACAAUGGGCGCAAGCCUGAUGCAGCCAUGCCGCGUGUAUGAAGAAGGCCUUCGGGUUGUAAAGUACUUUCAGUCGGGAGGAAGGUGUCAAGGUUAAUAGCCUUGGCAAUUGACGUUACCGACAGAAGAAGCACCGGCUAACUCCGUGCCAGCAGCCGUGGUAAUACGGAGGGUGCAAGCGUUAAUCGGAAUUACUGGGCGUAAAGCGCACGCAGGCGGUUGAUUGAGUCAGAUGUGAAAUCCCCGGGCUUAACCCGGGAAUUGCAUCUGAUACUGGUCAGCUAGAGUCUUGUAGAGGGGGGUAGAAUUCCAUGUGUAGCGGUGAAAUGCGUAGAGAUGUGGAGGAAUACCGGUGGCGAAGGCGGCCCCCUGGACAAAGACUGACGCUCAGGUGCGAAAGCGUGGGGAGCAAACAGG
rnacentral:rRNA from 1 species